rnacentral:rRNA from 1 species
AUGAAAAGCGGGCAAGAAAAGAAAACAAGCGGGGCGAGGACAGAAAAAGGGCACCCCGAUAGCUGCUGCUCGGCGACCGGGCGCAGGCGCAGGCGCAGCCCCGCCCUAGCGCCUGAAAAAGAAUCCCCGGACGGCGCCAUACGUGCGGCCUUUUCCGGGCACGAAGCUUCAUUCUCCGGCACGGUGCAUGCACCGGCCGUGGAACUGGAACCAUCCAAGCGAAACGAGAGCGACCCCACAAGCUCAAGCUCCAUGAGACGACAACACGGGCUUGGCUCGAGCUCGCGCUGGGAAGAAAGGAUCGUUGCCUGGACGUGA